GAUGAACGCUGGCGGCGUGCCUAACACAUGCAAGUCGAGCGGACGGACGAGAAGCUUGCUUCUCUGAUGUUAGCGGCGGACGGGUGAGUAACGCGUGGAUAACCUCCCUAUAAGAGUGGGAAAAUUUGGGGAAACCGGGGCUAAUACCGGAUAAUCUUUUGAAGCGCAUGGUUCAACAGUGAAAGACGGUCUUGCUGUCUCUUAUCGCUGGAUCUGCGCUUGAUGAGCUAGUUGGUAAGGUAACGGCUUACCAAGGCAACGAUGCGUAGCCGACCUGACAGGGUGAUCGGCCACACUGGAACUGAGACACGGACCAGACUCCUACGGGAGGCAGCAGUAGGGAAUCUUCGGCAAUGGGCGAAAGCCUGACGGAGCAACGCCGCGUGAGUGAUGAAGGUCUUCGGAUCGUAAAACUCUGUUAUUAGGGAAGAACAUAUGUGUAAGUAACUGUGCACAUCUUGACGGUACCUGAUCAGAAAGCCCCGGCUAACUACGUG
rnacentral:rRNA from 1 species